UGGAUGAGAAAAAAUUUGUUACGAAAAAAAAAUUUGGCAAAAUUUUUUUUUUGGCGGGAAUUUUUUUUUUCGACUGGAAAAAUGUUUGGCGGAAAUUUUUUUGGUGGGAAAAGAAAAUUUUGGCGUAAAAAAUUGACGGGAAAAGUUUAGUUUCCAAUUACAUGUUUCUAUUAGAUGAGGGUAAUAUGGUCAUUUUGUUCAAAGGAAAGCUUAUUUUUAAAAAUGGACAACAUAAAAAAGUAUUGUUGCAAAAAUGUAGUAAAAAAUGGUACUUUUGCAAAACUCCCUAUAAAUAAACU
rnacentral:sRNA from 1 species